AUUGAACGCUGGCGGCAGGCUUAACGCAUGCAAGUCGAGCGGGGGAAGGUAGCUUGCUACCGGACCUAGCGGCGGACGGGUGAGUAAUGCUUAGGAAUCUGCCUAUUAGUGGGGGACAACAUCUCGAAAGGGAUGCUAAUACCGCAUACGUCCUACGGGAGAAAGCAGGGGAUCUUCGGACCUUGCGCUAAUAGAUGAGCCUAAGUCGGAUUAGCUAGUUGGUGGGGUAAAGGCCUACCAGGGCGACGAUCUGUAGCGGGUCUGAGAGGAUGGUCCGCCACACUGGGACUGAGACACGGCCCAGACUCCUACGGGAGGCAGCAGUGGGGAAUAUUGGACAAUGGGGGGAACCCUGAUCUAGCCAUGCCGCGUGUGUGAAGAAGGCCUUAUGGUUGUAAAGCACUUUAAGCGAGGAGGAGGCUCUUUUGGUUAAUACCCAAGAUGAGUGGACGUUACUCGCAGAAUAAGCACCGGCUAACUCUGUGCCAGCCGCCGCGGUAA
rnacentral:rRNA from 1 species